AUUGAACGCUGGCGGCAGGCCUAACACAUGCAAGUCGAACGAGCGGCGGACGGGUGAGUAAUGUCUGGGAAACUGCCUGAUGGAGGGGGAUAACUACUGGAAACGGUAGCUAAUACCGCAUACCAUCUGAUGAGCCCAGAUGGGAUUAGCUAGUGGGUGGGGUAACGGCUCACCUAGGCGACGAUCCCUAGCUGGUCUGAGAGGAUGACCAGCCACCCUGGAACUGAGACCCGGACCAGACUCCUACGGGAGGCAGCAGUGGGGAAUAUUGCACAAUGGGCGCAAGCCUGAUGCAGCCAUGCCGCGUGUAUGAAGAAGGCCUUCGGGUUGUAAAGUAGUUUCAGCGGAGAGGCGUUACCCACAGAAGAAGCACCGGCUAACUCCGUGCCAGCAGCCGCGGUAAUUC
rnacentral:rRNA from 1 species